GUGUGGGUUAUGUAUGUACUCACGUGAAUGGGUGUGGGUGCACACGCAUGUGUGUGCAAGUGUAGCUCAGAGGUCAGUACUAGAUGUCUUUCCCUACCUUAUAUUUUGGGACAAGGUCUCUCACUGAAGCUGGAGUUCAUUGGUUUGGUUAGACUGGCCGGCCAAUGAGCCCCAAGGCUCCUCAUGUCUCUGCUUCCCUGGUGUGGUAGCUGGAAUGUAACCGGGCCCCAUAAUCUCAUAGGGAAUGUGGCUUGUUGGAGUGGGUGUGGUCUUGCUGAAGGAAGCGUGUCACUGUGGGGGCGGGCUUUGGUCUCUCUUUUGUUUAAGCUCCCAUCAGUGUCACAUUGGACUUCCUGUUGCCUGCAAGAUGCAGAUCUCUCAGCUGCUUCUCCAGCUCCACAUCAGCCUGCACGCUGCCAUGCUCCCCUUCAUGAUGAUGAUGGAAUUGAACCUCUGAAAGUACAGUCGAAGGUGGCCAGAGAUCUCCAGUCCCAGCAGUGUCAACGGAAACCACUUAGGUAGGAUGUGCAGAUUCCCGAGACUCCCUUUGCUCAACAAGGAGACCAAAGCUCAACACUCUUCAGCGAACCAGCGGAGUCUUUGUUCUUCUGGGAGUUAAAGGGUCUCUUUGUGCAGCCCUGACUUGUCUGGAACUCAUGCGGUAGACCAGACUGGCCUGGAGCUUACAGAGACCCGCCUACUUCUGCCUCUCAGAUGCUGGGAUUAAAGAUGCGUGCUUCCACACCCUGCUCACGUCUGCGUCACCGCAAGGUCCUAAGAGAACUACUGUCAAGCCAUCCCGGCCUCCGACUCACACACACACAGCUCUAGGAAACAGACCCGGCACGGUUCAGAAAGUCUUUUCAACUAAACGCUCCUGGGUUCCCAAGGGCCUGCUCUCCCGUGUUGUCCAGUUUCAUCUUUCAUUUCAGAACAACGGUUUAGCUCCCACUCAUCAGUCUUCCCUGUGGCUCCCUGAUCUUCCAGCCUUUAGGAUCAAGCUACCACCUUGAAGGUCCCCCAGGCUCAGUACCGAGAGAGAUGUGGGAAACACACCAGCUGUCAGAGGAUUUUCUCCAGGAUAGGCUUUUGGAUUUAAUUUAACUCUUUGCUGUGGAGGAUGGCAAUCUGGGGGCUUUGCACACGCCAGGCAAACGUUCUACCACUGAGAUACAUCCCGCGCUUCCCCAGCGUAAUUUUAAGAUUCCAAGGAGUAAAAGUCAAUCGUUUUACACUGAAAAACCAAACAAGCGGAAUCAGACUCCCAGAAGUCUCACCUUUGCCAUGCUUCUGACAUGGUUUCCCACUGGCCUGGGACUUAUCAAACAAGCUAGAAUGGCUACCUGGUGAGCUCCAAGGGUAUGCUUGUCGCCACCUCCUUGAGAUUACAAGCUCAUGCUGCUCUGCCCAACUUGCAAGGCAGGUAACCUGAACCCAAUAGGUCCAGAACUCCUCUUCCUGAAGAUACCCCCAGGACACAGAAACCAGCAACAUGCUUCUUCCUACUGGACUUCCUUUACAGUUAGCACUCAGUUUUAAAGAACAAAUUGGAAAUCUAGGCAUGGUUAUUUAUGCUGUGAUCUCAGCCCAUGGGAGUCGGAGGCAGGAGGAUUGUCGUGAAUUCAUGACCAGCCUGGUCUACACAGUAGGUGUAGUUUUUGUGUAAUGCUUCCAAGGCCUUCUCUCUCAUCCUGGCUCCGUGGACCUGUAGCUCCCAUGUAGGACCUGGCUGCUCACCUCGCCUGCCCUAUGAAGGUGGCCUCUCUCCCACCUCGACUGCCAUGGGAAGGCGGAAAGCCCAGCCUCUGACUAAGCUCAUUUUAUGAGGGCUGUUCUUGUUGGGCCAGGUGACCUUUAAGACUUGAGUAUGGUGCGAGUUUGCUUACUGCUCAAGAGGAAGUGCACACUCAGCUUUUAAUUCUCUGGAAGAACACACUGGGCUAUGGGGUUGGUUCCUACUGAUACUUCAUACAUUCAAAGAAGCCAAAAGCGCAAAGUGACACCAAAUUGAAGACCCGAGACUGACUCCAGCACUUGUCCUUCAUUGUCUCUGGGUCAAUAUGGCCACACAGUUUGGUAAACGUCAGCUCUGACUGUGCCCGUGACCACACUGCUGUCGCCUCCUAGGACCGUUCCAUCUUCAGAAGGCGAAGACUACGCUGCUCUCUCUUCUCCUUUGCUGACUCUCACUCAUACUCCAGGCCCUGUGCCGGCCACUCUGUCCACUGCUUGACAUGUGUGGUGGUUGCCCUCUCCGCUGAAGGAAUCAGGGCUUCGGCUGACAGUGGCACUGUCAGGACCAACUGGCCAUGUUAACAGACAUGGGUCAGGCAGCAGGUGCUGGUCUUGGUCAGAGCAGGCUCUCUGCUCUGGGGGGACGCGUGGGAGGGUACAGGGUCCGUUCCCCACAUGAAGACAUACUUCUAGAAGCUUCUCUCCCUACUCUUACUCCCAUCAUAAUGGCUCUUCUGGUUAAGCUUCCAUUUCUCAUUCUCUCUUCUCUGUGUAUCCUACUGGGAAACUGCCCAGCUCCCUCUGCCGCCAGGCUCUAGCCCCUACCACACUGGGGACAUUGGCCCCUGCCACACUGGGGACGUUGGCUGACUCAUCAUCGUAAGUACCCAGUCUGCUGUGCUGUAGUUAACACUAGCCCUCAGCAGCACACUUUUCUGACAAGGUUGUUUCUGUGUGCGGUCUCAGACGUGAGGUGUGCUUUGCAUCUUAUACACAAUCUUGUCGGCAUUGGGGGUUAACUGUGGGGUAACAGGACUGAAAGCAGCAGGCCUGGGCUCCCGUUCGCACAGAGCCGGGGACAAGCUGCAGGUCCCGGUUCCUGGCCACGAGUCUAGGCCCCUCUCCUCGGAUCCGGGCCAAGCAAGAAGGCGGCUCUGCGGCCUGCAGCUGGAGAAGGCAGCUCUCCACACGCACCAGGCAGAAGUGCCCGCCACGGGAAACUGCUGGUGGUGCCGCACAUCCACGGGGACUGCCCAUCUCCAGGACACGCUGACUGGGCAAUGCGGGCGUCAACAGCCAACGUGUCCAUUUAGCAAUGCCUGGGCACAAGCUCAGGACCCUCACAGUGCUGCCACGGGCUCCCUAUAGGAGGCAAAGCCUAUGCUGAACACGGGACUGAUACCCUGGUGAUUCUCUAGAUGGGUACCAGCAUUUCCAUGGCAACCCAUUGCACUUCUCCACAUGCUUAGCUGUGAGUGAUGUUACUACUGUCUACUUUUACUAGAACUAUCAGAGAGAGAGGCAGGUAGGGAGGCAGUUUGGUCGAUGGAAAAUGAGGUCAAAGGUCACCAGAAGCUGAAGCUCCUGCUCCCUAAAUGGGAGGCACUUAGCCUUCCCCCCACUGUGUGCUGGCUGCUUGUCCCUCUCCCCUCUUGGCUCUGCAACUGCUGAUGUUCCUAGUCACAGGUCAACCUCCAACACAAAUACCAUCUUCGUAGUGACGUCUUCUGGGUUCUCUAGGCUGUGUGUGCUCCACGCGAGCUAUUUAUGUCUCUGCUAUCACAUUUGUCACAACCUGCCACACUUUCCAGCCGGCCUUGUCCCUGGCUGCCGCCCUCCUGAGGUCUGGGAGUUCUGAGGCAGUGGCUGUGCAUAUCUGUGGAUAGCACUUCAGGUCCAGUGGGGGGCACAAGUUCCCCAGGGACAGAAACACAGACUGUUUCUAAACAGUGCUGAGGAGAAAGAAGGUCUUUAGUUCAUUUAAACAGUGGCUUCCAUGACAGUCAGUGCCUCAGGAAAUGAGCAACGGCUUUAUCCGCUGGUAUACCAGAUCUAUAGGCAGCAGGCAGCCAGUGAUUAAGCUAAGACACCUGUGGCCCGAGUUACAUAGGAAAGGAAAUAGUUACACGGUAAUGACAAUCAUAAAGAGGCACUGUAUACCUGGCUGGCAAUCUGUUCUGGAACCUUCUGCCAGGCUGCCACACUGCAAAAUGGAAUAACCUCCUGACUCUAUGCUAGUUUUACAUUUCCUAAGCAUCAUGUUCUGGGACUGCUUGAUUUUUCAGAGUCAGAGACCAGUCACUGGCAAAAAAUAAGACUUGAGAUCACUCAUAGGAAGAGAUCACCAGUGAGGUGACUUGAGAGAACAUGGCCUGCAAAGGGAGGCAGGGUUAGGAGGUGUGGCCUUGUUGGAGGAAGUGUGUCCCUGUGGGGUGGACUCUGAGGUCUCUUUUGCUCAAGCUUCCCUCAGUGUGACAGGCAGUCAACUUCCUGUUGCCUGCAAGACAUAGAACUCUCAGCUCCAGUACCAUGCCUGCCUGGACCCCACCACAGUCCCCUUCAUGAUCGUAAUGGACUGAACCUCUGUAAGUGAGCCAAACAAAAUUAAAUGUCUUCUUUAUAGGA